rnacentral:lncRNA from 1 species
CUCGUGGUCUCGAGCUCGCGCGCUCUCAUCCCCUCCCCCGCGGCGUGCGGCGGGGCGGAGAAACGGCGGCGGCGGCGGCGGCAUCGGCAGCAGUAGCAGAGGCUGUAGCAUCGGACACCCUCCUCUCUCCCGCAAUCCGGUUCCUCUUCCCCCUCCUUCUCACUGUUUGUUGUGUGUUUGAUGUGUUAAAGCAGGAGCGAGAACCCGAGCAGCGCCAUGAGCAACACUACCGUCGUCCCCAGCACUGCAGGUCCGGGCCCCAGCGGCGGGCCCGGUGGCGGAGGUGGUGGUGGCGGCGGAGGCGGCGGCACCGAGGUAAUCCAGGUGACUAAUGUCUCCCCGAGCGCUAGCUCUGAGCAGAUGCGGACUCUCUUCGGUUUCCUAGGCAAGAUCGACGAACUGCGCCUCUUCCCGCCGGAUGAUUCGCCUUUGCCAGUCUCAUCUCGUGUCUGCUUUGUUAAGUUCCAUGAUCCAGACUCAGCAGUUGUGGCACAGCAUCUGACAAACACUGUAUUCGUUGACAGAGCUUUGAUAGUCGUACCAUAUGCAGAAGGUUUGUGCUUUGUUUAACUACCUAUGUGGGCAUCCUAAGAUGACCAUCUACCUCAGUAGAUGUAGAGUGAGCAUUAGUAGCAUGUUAAAUCUAAGCUAUUAACAUUUUUAAACCCUUGUUAUACUGCAGUCCGUAAUUUUUGCUUGCAGAUUUUUUUUAAUUCUAAAAAUUAGAAAUUAGGUCUGUUAUUAUAAGGUAUUUACCUUUUGUUUUCUUUUAAAACAUUUUUAAGUUGUUUAAAACCAUGUCCCUUAUUGUAACUCCCUGAGAUACAUCUACUUAGUUAAUUUAAUGUUAAGUUUUAUGAAAAAGCCCUGAAGGUAAAUGAUUCACUCCAUGUAUGCUUACAGAGCCUUCAAAUAAAUGCAUGAUGUUAUUUCUGUUUUAAAUAAAUGAGUAGGUUGAUUUUAUUUUCUUAAAGCUUCCUCACAUUGAUAAUC